GUGGGUAUGACUCAGCGGUAGAGCGCAUGCUUAGCAUGCACGAGGUCCUGGGUUCAGUCCCCAGUUCCUCCA
rnacentral:tRNA from 1 species